rnacentral:lncRNA from 1 species
CUCCUCUGGGGCUGGUGUUCCAUCUACUCAGACACCUAGCUGCCCCUUUUAGGUGCUAUUUUGAUCCCUAUUUACAGUUGUGGAAACAGAGGCAGAGAGAGGUUAAGUGAUUUGCCCAGGUCUGAUUCCUAAGAAGUGUCUACAGCUGGAUUUAAACUUAGGUCUUCCUGUCUCUACCACCUGGCUGGCUCUAUUAGCUGUGUGACUCUUAACCACCAGCAGUGCCAGAAAACCCUCUUCUUCCCUGUUCCAGGCUCCUACUUGGGUCUCAGGAUCAUAGAUCUGGAGCUAGAAGGAGCCUUACAAGGCAACUAGCCCACUUGCCUCAUUUCACCAAUAACAAAAGUGAGGCUGAGGAACGGAGAGUGAUGUCCACAGUCACAGAGUAACUGCAUGGCGUCAAUGGAGGUGUCCUUUCUGAUCGGGAUCCUGGGAGGUUCUGUUCUGAUACAUCCAAACUCAGAAAUAGGAAAUGACACCUCAAGGAUUAGUUGGUAUCAUCAUUCACUUGAAGAGAAUCUGCACCUACUCACCAGCAGGCCAGGGGAGAGCAGUCCAAGCUGGAUCAUUCCCCAGAAGGAAUAUGAGAGGAGGCUGUCAACCCCUGAUGGGAAGUCUCUGGAGAUCCUGAAUCUGACCCUGGAAGACUGUGGGCUUUAUGUGGCUGAAAUCACAUCAGUCUCAGGAGUGUUCCAGACUGAAAAGUUCAAUUUAACCAUCUCUGUUUUAGGCCCUGAGACUACAGAUUCUAACAAGGAUCCAUGGAUUUGGGAGGUUCCCCUGCUUGUCAUAGUCCCGAUAAUGUUGGUGAUCAUUGUGGGGGCAGUUUUUUACUAUAUUAAGAAAGGCUGCUAUUACAAAAAUCAAGUGGACAGCAGUGGUGAAGAACCAGUGGAACGACUGACCGAUGUAGAGAUGGGUUCUCUGUUAGGCCAUAAAAUACAGACUGAGGAUGAUCCGUAAAG